rnacentral:rRNA from 1 species
AUUGAACGCUGGCGGCAGGCCUAACACAUGCAAGUCGAGCGGAUGAAGGGAGCUUGCUCCUGGAUUCAGCGUCGGACGGGUGAGUAAUGCCUAGGAAUCUGCCUGGUAGUGGGGGAUAACGUCCGGAAACGGGCGCUGAUACCGCAUACGUCCUGAGGGAGCAGGUUGGUGGUCUUCGGACCUCACGCUAUCAGAUGAGCCUAGUUCGGAUUAGCUAGUUGGUGGGGUAAAGGCCUACCAAGCCGACGAUCCGUAACUGGUCUGAGAGGAUGAUCAGUCACACUGGAACUGAGACACGGUCCAGACUCCUACGGGAGGCAGCAGUGGGGAAUAUUGGACAAUGGGCGAAAGCCUGAUCCAGCCAUGCCGCGUGUGUGAAGAAGGUCUUCGGAUUGUAAAGCACUUUAAGUUGGGAGGAAGGGCAGUAAGUUAAUACCUUGCUGUUUUGACGUUACCAACAGAAUAAGCACCGGCUAACUUCGUG